UCAGGGUCUCCAAUGCAUUUUCUUAAGAAUGUGAAACCUUCUUGGGGGUCCCAACUGUCUUUUUUAAAAUUGUAAAAUCUUCUCGGGGGCGCCAAAUAUACAUAUUUUUUUUAAUCUGAAACCUUCUCGAGGGUCCCAACUGUUUUUUUUUUUUUAUAUGUAAAACCUUCUCGGGGGCACCAAUAUAAAUAUAGAGGUUCCCUGGACUCAAUUGUGAAUCAUUAAUUAAGUGAUAUAUCCCGUAUUACAAAUACAGGAAGAGGUGAAUUGCCCCCAGUUGAUAACCCAAAUUAAUAGAAAUUACAAUAAUUUAAACUAGCAAUCAGUAAUUAGAAAACAUGAGACUACAGAGAAUUUUCUUGUUGUACAAAUUAUGCAGUCAAAUUAGAUAAAGUAAAUCAAAAAACAUCAACAAAAAGUUUAUCGAAGAGGUUACACGAAAGCAGUUUUUGGUAAUUAUAUAAAGAAAGAGUGAUAAGAAUAUAGUCUGUUUGUUACUGGUCCAAAGACUAUCAACAUGAUGUCCACGUUCGUGUUCUGUUUAAUUCUGUUUGAAGUUGUUCUGGUCAAGUCAACAACAGACUACUAUUGGCGCGACUACGAUGGAGUCAUCCCUGAAGAUGCCAUAAUUGGUGGUCACGACAAUCACGAUAAACCCAUCUACAUAGGCCAAACUUACAUCCAAGACAUGGGUUUCGUUGUCUUCGAAAUAAAUCCAGGCCAAACAUUAUAUGCACGUAAUAUGUACAACUCUGAAGUGGUAAAAGGCUACAUUAAAAUCUUGUGUGGUCCUCGGGAUCAUUUUUACUGGUUGCCAACGAAUUGCACUCAACUAAUGAAGCACUUAUAUUCAGAAGAGAAAGCGUGGGUGGUUGGUGGUCGCGAAGGCAGAGGCGAAAAACACUUUGUUGGAAUGAUCAAGUGCGACUAUGGAUUCUGCAUUGGGAAAAUUCUUAGAAAUGGCUCUUUUCGACACAGGUCCGGAUUUAUCGGAGUGGAUAGAACCGGCCAUGGACUAACCGCCGACUCGUUCGAAGUUCUUGUAAACGAAAAAAAAGAGCCCAGUGGUUCAGAAAGUAGUCUAAUUUUGACUUUUCUCCAUAGUGUUGGUUUUGUACUUUGUGUAUUAUUUUCAUUUAUAUUUUAAUAAGAUGAGGUACAGGCCAGAUGGGUUCAUUUUGAUAUAUUUCGUAUUACAAAUACAAGAUGAUGACCUAAAUGAAUAGAAAUUCCCACAAACAAUUUAAACUAGCAAUCGAAAAAACAUGAGACAAGAGAUGUACAAAUUUUGCAGCCAACUUAGAUAAGUCAGUCAAAUAACAUCAACAAAAAGUUUAUCGAAGAGGUUCCACGAAAGCUGUUUUUGGUAAUUAUAUAAAGAAAGAGUGAUAAAAAUAUAGUCUGUUUGUUACUGAUCCAAAGACUGUCAACAUGACGUCCACGUUUGUGUUCUGUUUAAUUUUGUUUGAAGUUGCUCUAGCCAAGUCAACAACAGACUAUCAUUGGCGCUACUACAAUGGAGUCAUCCCUGAAGAUGCCAUAGUUGGUGGUCACGACAAUCACGAUAAACCUAUCUACAUAGGCCAAACUUAUAUCGAAGACAUGGGUGACGUUGCCAUGGAAAUAAACCCAGGCCAAACGUUAUAUGCACAUAUGCAUUACCCUCACGAGGUAGACUACUUGAUUAAAAUCUUGUGUGGUCCUUGGGAUCGUUUUUACUGGUUGCCAACAAAUCGCACUCAACUAAUGAAGCCUUUCUAUUUAGAAGAGAAACCGUUGGUGAUUGGUGGUGAAGAAGACAUGGGCAAAAGUUUUAUUGGAAGGAUCGAGUGCGAAUUUGGGGUCUGCAUCGGGAAAAUUCUUAAAGAUAACUGUUUUCGACACAAAUCCGGCUUUUACGGAGUGGGUAGAGACGGUAAUGAACUAAUCGCCCACUCGUUCGAAAUUCUUGUCAACGAAAAAAAAGAGCCCAAUGGUUCCGAAAGUAGUUUAAUUUUGACUUUUCCUCAUGGUGUUGGUUUAGUAUUUUGUGUAUUAUUUUCAUUUAUAUUUUAAUAAGAUGAGAUAGAGGUCAGCUGUGUUUUAUUUAGCAAUUCAAACCAUGAGGUAAUUUGAAAAGUCCAGUAUAGAGUUUUUUAUCUCUGAGCAUCUAUCUACAUAAGCAUAAUUAAUCCACCCAUUUCUUCUUAAAGAAUGCAUCCACGUGUCCGUUUAAACUGGUGUAAAAAUUGGCCAAGUAUAUUUUUUUUUUACUAAAAACUGUCGACUCCACAUGAGUAUAAAGAUAGAGGUCCUCUGGACUCAAUUGUUAAUCAUUAAUUAAGUGAUAUUUCUCGUAUUACACAUACAGGAAGAGGUGAAUUGCCCCCAGUUGGUAACCCAAAUUAAGAGAAAUUCCUACAAUUUAAACUAGCAAUCAUUAGCGAGUAAACAUGAGACGAAAGAGAAUUUCUUGUUGUACAAGUUUUGCAGCCAACUUAGAUAAGUCAGUCAAAUAACAUCAACAAAAAGUUUAUCGAAGAGGUUACACCAAAGCUGUUUUUGGUAAUUAUAUAAAGAAACAGUGAUAAGAAUACAGUCUGUUUGUUACUGAUCCAAAGACUGUCAACAUGACGUCUACGUUUGUGUUCUGUUUAAUUCUGUUUCAAGUUAUUCUGGUCAAGUCAACCACAGACUACUACUGGCGCGACUACGACGAAGUCAUCCCUGAAGAUGCCAUAGUUGGUGGUCACGACAAUCACGACAAACCCAUCUACAUAGGCCAAAGUUAUAUCAAAGACGAAGGUUUCGUUGUCAUCGAAAUAAACCCAGGUCGGACGUUAUAUGCACACAUGAACAACCCUCUAGUAGUAGAAAACUACAUUAAAAUCUUGUGUGGUCCUCGGGAUCAUUUUUACUGGUUACCAACAAAUCGCACCCAGCUGAUGAGGCAUUUAUAUUUAGACGAGAAACCGUUGGUGAUUGGUGGUCAUGAAGACAGAGGCGAAAAAUAUUUUGUUGGAAGGAUCAACUGCGACUUUGGAUUAUGCAUCGGGAAAAUUCUUAGAACUGGCUCGUUUAGACGCAAAUCCGGCUUUUACGGAGUGGAUAGAGACGGACAUGAACUAACCGCCGACUCGUUCGAAGUUCUCGUAAACGAAAAAAAAGACCCCAAUGGUUCAGAAAGUAGUCUAGUUUUGACUUUCACCCAUAGUGUUUAUUUCGUACUUUGUGUAUUAUUUUCACUUAUAUUUUAAUAAAAUCAGGUAGAAGCUA